AUACCUUUCUCGGCCUUUUGGCUAAGAUCAAGUGUAGUAUCUGUUCUUAUCAGUUUAAUAUCUGAUACGUGAGCCAUUGGCUCACAUGAUAUUAAAUGAAUUUUUCGAGGGAGAGAGUGUAUUAUGGUAGCUUGCUAUUGUGCCUCUCAAGUGUCGCCCAUGCGUUGCACUAUUGCAAGGGCCUGGCACAUCCCAC